CGGCUGCGCGCUGCCGGUCGCCGCUGCCUGCUGCUGCUGCUGCUGCUGCUGCGGGGGACGCUCCUUCUGGCCGCCCAGGCUGCUGUACACGAGCAACAAGCUGGUGCACAUGGUGAAAGAUGCUAGAUAUUCACAGAACUGGAAGAACAACAGAGAAAACAGGUUCAGAAAAGGCAGAAAUCAAGAAAGUUCCAGGAUCCAGGCACAGGAACCAAAGCAGGUAUGUGGACUCCCUGAUGGGGUGUUUUGGAUCCACGAGUAGCUGGCUGAUGUCACUAAAAUGCUACUGGAUGGAGCUCCCAUUGAAACAAAGAAGUCUAGGCCUGGGCUUACUGAAUGCAUCAUUGUUCUGGUCUCUAAUAUUCUUGUGCUUCAAACUGCAGACAGCAGAAAGUGACAAUGGCAGGAUGUUAAUUUCAAACAGACCCUAUACAUUUACUGGUUGAAAAGGAGAGCUCUUUUAAAAAGAAAUGCAAAAAAAAAAGAUGAUAAAAUAAAAACAGGAAAUGUUGAGAGUGAUGUAGAGAGAAGGCAAAAGUCCAAGAUUCAGACAGAAAAACAAUGUAGAUUGUUUACUUGAGAGACUGUUUACAACGUAGGAAGUCUACUUGGGAAUGAAGAUCUUAAAAAUAUCUUCAAAAAGUACUGAGAUAUGCUUGGUUAAGGGAAUCUCAUGCAACAUGGAUUCCUUAUAACUAAUGCCUGGUUAUGACCAGUAUGAGAUCCUGCCACAGAAGAAACAGCAUAUGGUGGAGAUGGAGAGCCUGAAUGGUAUUAGCAGUGCCAAGUCAAAACUGUUGUGGCAAUCAAUCUAGUUGGUAAAGAAAUUAUGGACAAGUCACAUUCACAUGUGAUUUAAUUUUUCAAAAAGGGAGAAAAGCAGAGUCAAGAAUUUCUAUCUUGCAAGAAUUUAGGAUAGCAGAAAUGAUUAAACCCACAAAUGGCUGAUUAUAUUCAAAUUAGCACUUUGGUACGUUGUUGGUGACAAUUAUAAACUAGUAUGAUUCUCUUGGAUGCAAUAUGGCCACACAAAGCAAGAAGUGUAGGGAGAUAGUUAUAGCCCUUAACCCAGGAAUCUCACCCCAGGGAAUGUGUCCUAGGGACAUAAUUCCACAGAAGCAAAGCAUAUGCAAAAUAAUAAUCAUUGUAGCAGCUUUACAAUAACAACUAUAAAAAUGUCUCUGAGAAACAAUAUACCUAUAAAACAAUUGUGAAAUUGUUCGGUAAAUUAUGGAACAUUAAGUCCGUGGAAUAUUAUUCAGCUAUUAAAAUCAUAAUUGUGAAGACCAUGAAUAACAAGGAAAAAUGUUUACAGCAUGAUGUUAAAAGAAAAAAGUGAAAUUAAAACACUAUAUACAUUAAGAUUGAAUCCCAUGUAUGUGAGUGGAAAGAAAAUACACAAAACAAUAUAAUUAUGUUAGUUUGGUAGACCUAUGGAUGUCAUUUUUGUUUGUAAAAUCGUGUUUAAUAGAUGAUAAAUAUCGCUUAAUAAAAUUCAGUGGAAACAGAGCUGGUCAAGGGGGAUAAAAAUAGGAAAUAUGAAGUAAAACUGGUAAAGAGGAUACAUAUGGCAAUGUUAUGUGAUGCCUGCAUAAAUUUUGUUACUUGGUGUAGCAGAGAAAAAUCACUGUAAAUAUACAUAAUAUGAAUUACCUUCAUAAUAAAAAUUGUUAUACAGAUGAAGUGAGUCCAGUGGAGCUGUUCCAAGCCUUGGCUUUAAGUAUACGAUUUUAUUUCUGUGAUCAUCAGUUACAGAGAUGGAGUGUAAGCAGAACUAACCAAGCCUCUGGCUGAUUAAAAAGAGAUUCUUUGACUUCUGAUUUUUCCAUCCCCAGUGACCACUGUCUCUUUCUACCAAAGCUUAUCUCCACGUGUUUAAUACACACAAAUGAACAUGUACUAUGUAUGUUUCCUUGUGCAUAUGUGUAUAUGUU